GUAGGUGAACCUGCGGAAGGAUCAUUACCGAGUCGGGCCCUUCGGGGCCCUUACUCUCCACCCUUUGUGAAUCCACCUGUGUUGCCUCGGCGGGUCGCUCGCUUCGGCGGGGCCCGCCAGAGGACCUAACAAACUCUGUUAUAACCGGCUGUCUGAGUAUUUAUUAAAUAAUUAAAACUUUCAACAACGGAUCUCUUGGUUCUG
rnacentral:misc_RNA from 1 species